GCCCCAGUUUGGCCACCUACAGAUGACUCAAGGUAGAAGAAGACAUAUUUACAAGUUUGCCACUGGUCAUUAAUGCUUCGCCAUUUAAUCGUUCUAACUCUGUUUCAUUCCGUUUCAAUUGCGUUAGUUUCGUAACGUCGCGCUCUACACAGUAGUGCUAAUUUUUUUUAUGUCAUAUAUUUUUUCCAUAUUUAAUUGAAUAUUAGAUUAAUUAAUAUAUGCACCUGAUUUUAUAAUUAAAAGUAAUAUAGAGUUAUAAUAAUGUUUUCUAUUGUUUUCUGACCAUGGCAACGUAAAUGACUUAUUAGCGAUACUGUUUUCCAUGUCCCAUGUUUAUAAAUAUAAUUAGUUUAAUUAAUAUUUUUUGAAUGUCAUUUUUAAUUAACAAAUAGGUUUACACUUCGCUAUUUUUAUAAUCUAAUAUUAACUUGAUUGAAGUUAACUUAAAUAUUUAUUAAUUAUAAUUCUUUUAGUUAGACAUAAAGUAUAGAAUUAAUUUGUUUAAUAUUUAUUUAAUGUCUUUCUGGAUUAAAAGUAACUUAUGUUUAUAAUUUAGAUCUUUUAUAAAUAAAUAAAUGUUAACAUUAUUAAUAUCAACUUAAAUGGUUCUUUAUUAGUUAUAACUUGUUUAAUAUAAAUGCGACGCAUGUUAGGAUUUGAUUAGCUGCUCUUACUUGCUUUAUGUUUUCUAAAAUUAGAAAGGCGUAAUGGCUUAAAGGAUAUAUAACCAUCUACAAUUAAAAUAUAACUAAAAUUUAACUCCGGCUUUUAUAAUUCAACAUAAUUUGGUUAAUCUAAUUAGGAUAGUUCUAUUAAAUGUCUGUCAUAUUAUUUCAUCUAAUAAAAUACGACCAACGUAUAGUCUGUCUUCUCUCUGUUUUGUUGCAAGCCCCAAUAGUCGUGUCCGUUUAACGAUAGCUCCGUUCUCAAUCGUUCUUGUGUUGUCACGAUUAUGACAAUAAGCCGUGUCGUUUAUUGCGCUCUUCUUUUUCAAAGCUUUUCUUUUGAUUGAUGCCUGUUCUUAGUCGUGAUUGUUGUUUGUCUGUUUGUGUUACUUGGUUGCUACGAGUAGAAGAAGCGUGGUUCGUCAAUAGUGAAGACCAGGAGCUAAGGACCGACAGUCGAAGCAGAAGUUGAAGAUUAGAAGAAAGAAGCCAAAGAAUUCUGAGCAAAUAUACACUGGGAAUAAAGGCAAGUGCAGACACUGUUUGAUCAUUUUGAACCUACUCAUUAAUGUCAUUUACUUUAUAUGCAUGGGUCCAAUGAAUGCAAACCCUAAGGACAUGACUAGCUUUACUUACCAUUCCUUGCUCACCUGGGGUUAUGUAUAUGGGUAGUCUAGGCUAUACUAGGUUUGCUUAGCUGCUCUACUCAUCUUAUACACAUGCCUAAACAAGUAAUAAUCUCCACUCAACUUGAUGCUUAAACUGUGCUGGAUCUUUGGUCACUACGGUGAUGGCGAUGUUGGAUGCUUACGAGCAUCGUGAUGAUGGUGGUGAUAGGGGGAGCGGGUACCGUUGGUGGUCCGGUUUGCCGGACGUACCCGUCUCUGCUCCCCGUAAGGACUUAGUCAGGGAGCGGCCCCCUGGGACAUACAGUGCAGCUCCAAGCUAUAUGGCUCUGGCUUGACUAAUUAGCAGGACCUCCACUAGUAGGGUGUUACUUUCCGGGUAGGCGUGAGGAAGUAACUUGGGUAAUGAAUAUUAAGUUGUCGGUUGAUCGGUACGCCAUGGCUAUGGGUAUCGACUGUUGAGCGCCCCGGCGAAAACUUGCGAGUGGCAUCCUAUUAGUUGGACCCUGUGAAAGGUCUCGUAGUGAGACCCUGCCUGCUCACCUUGGUAGUGUUUUGGGGAGUCAUGACCCCGGGCAAAUGGGAAUCACGACUUGGAGUGAACGUGCACACCUCUGCAGAGUGUAAAACUGAUAUAUCAGCCGUGCUCACGGUCACGAGCGGCCCAGACCCUCACUUGAUGAGCAAAUUGGAUUCACUGGAUACUUGGAGAUGGAACUUGGCGAGGUUGCUACCUCGUGUUUUGGCGGAAUGGCUAUUCCGUGUUGGCAGGAUUGCUAUCCUGUGUUAAUACUUGGGGUUAAUCCCUGGAUUACUAUAAUAAUUAGGAUAGUCUUUUAAAAGAUGCUAAUUACUACUUACACUAAAUAAGGGUUGGGUUUAUGCUACUCAUACUUAGUAGUAGGUUGUUCUAAUAAUAGUCAUAGUUAAAAGUGAUCAAACUAAAAUGCUACGCGGUCAAACCAAGUCAGCUUUACCUUGUUUUAAGCCUUGCAUGUCAUUACUUUCCGUCUGUGCUUGCUGAGUUCGACAUGAACUCACCCUUGCUAUUUUCCCCCCACACCCCCAGUGUGUAGUAAAGUGCUGCUCAGAAGAAGGAUAAAGACGUCAUGGAGUUUUCUAGAAGCUUAUCAGAAGUGCUUGGCGUACGGAGCCCCCAGUCAACCGUCCCUG
rnacentral:lncRNA from 1 species